UUCUGAGCGCGUGCUUCAUGACGAUGUUUGGAAAGCUCACGCCUUUCAGGCGCGCGGUACGGAUGUAUUGUGCUGUCAUCACUUCGGUCAUCGACGCGCGGGUCAUACGCGCGAUGUAGCCCAUGCCGUAAAGGGCAAUAGUGAGGACGGGCAGGAAGAAGUUUUCGAAUGUGAUGUCG
rnacentral:ncRNA from 1 species